rnacentral:rRNA from 1 species
AGCAGCCGCGGUAAUUCCAGCUCCAAUAGCGUAUAUUAAAGUUGCUGCAGUUAAAAAGCUCGUAGUUGAAUUUCGGGACCAAUAUGUCGGUCGUGCCUCGGUACGUACUGGCAUCGUUGGUUUCUCCCUUCUGACGAACCAUGAUGUCAUUUAUUUGGUGUCGUGGGGAAUCAGGACUGUUACUUUGAAAAAUUAGAGUGUUUAAAGCAGGCUCACGCUUGAAUACAUUAGCAUGGAAUAAUGAAAUAGGACGUUUGAUUCUAUUUUGUUGGUUCCUAGGAUCGACGUAAUGAUUAAUAGGGAUAGUUGGGGGCAUUAGUAUUCAAUUGUCAGAGGUGAAAUUCUUGG